rnacentral:rRNA from 1 species
UUAAAAAUAUAAUUGUUAAAUUCAAUUUAAUUUGAAAUUAUUAAAUUAUUUAAUUUAAAAUUAAUUUUUAAAUAAAAUAAUAAAAUUAGUGUUUUAUUAAUAAAAUUGAAAAAAUUUAAUUUAUAAUAGUAAAUUUGUAUUGAAGAAGAUGUUUAUUUAUUUUAAAAUAAAAAAAUUAAUUUUUUGUACCUUGUGUAUCAGGGUUUAAUAAAAAAUUUUUUAAAAUUUGAAUUUUCUCGAAGUUAAAAGAGCUAAAUAAAUAUAUUUUUUUAUGUAAAAUAAUAAUUAAUAAUAUUUUUUUAGUAAUGAAAUGUUAUUCGUUUUUAAAUAUAUCUAGUUUUUUAAGAAAUAAAUUUAAUUUAUUUAUUAAAAAUAAAAAUUUUAUUUUUUAAUUUUUUAUUAUUAAUAUUAAAUAUUUUAAGGGAUGAGCUUUAAAAUUUAUUUUUAUUAAUAUUUAAAAGUAAUAAAAUUGUAAGAUUAGAAUUUUCUAUCAUUAAAAGAAUGUUAAAAUUAAUUUAUUAUACUUUAUUAUUUUUAUUUAUUAUAAGUUUUUUAUUAAAAUUUAAAUUUUAAUUUUAAAAAUUUAGUAAUUAUGUUAAAAUUAGUAUAAUUUUUUAUAAAAAGUAAUUUUAUAUUUUAGAUUUAAUAAAGGAAUUCGGCAAACAAUUUUUUACCUGUUUAUUAAAAACAUGUCUUUUUGUUAAUAAUUUAAAGUCUAACCUGCCCACUGAAUUUUUAAAUGGCCGUGGUAUUUUGACCGUGCUAAGGUAGCAUAAUCAUUAGUUUUUUAAUUAARAACUGGAAUGAAAGGUUGAAUAAGAAAAUAACUGUCUCUAUUAAAUUUAAUUAGAAUUUUAUUUUUAAGUUAAAAAGCUUAAUUAAUAUUAAAAGACGAGAAGACCCUAUAGAGUUUWAUUAUUWAAUAAAAAUUAUAUUUUAGUAUUUAUAUAUUUAAUUURUUAAAUAAUUUAAUUGGGGUGAUUGAAAAAUUUAUUAAACUUUUUUUAUUUUUUWACAUUUAUUUAUGRUUAAAUGAUCCAUUAUUUUUGAUUAUAAGAUAAAAUUACCUUAGGGAUAACAGCGUAAUUUUUUUAGAGAGUUCAUAUUAAAAGAAAAGAUUGCGACCUCGA